GGGAGGCAGCAGUGGGGAAUUUUGGACAAUGGGCGCAAGCCUGAUCCAGCAAUGCCGCGUGCAGGAAGAAGGCCUUCGGGUUGUAAACUGCUUUUGUCAGGGAAGAAAUCCUCUGGGUUAAUACCUCGGGGGGAUGACGGUACCUGAAGAAUAAGCACCGGCUAACUACGUGCCAGCAGCCGCGGUAAUACGUAGGGUGCGAGCGUUAAUCGGAAUUACUGGGCGUAAAGCGUGCGCAGGCGGUUGUGCAAGACAGGUGUGAAAUCCCCGGGCUUAACCUGGGAACUGCACUUGUGACUGCACGGCUAGAGUACGGUAGAGGGGGAUGGAAUUCCGCGUGUAGCAGUGAAAUGCGUAGAUAUGCGGAGGAACACCGAUGGCGAAGGCAAUCCCCUGGACCUGUACUGACGCUCAUGCACGAAAGCGUGGGGAGCAAACAGGAUUAGAUACCCUGGUAGUCCACGCCCUAAACGAUGUCAACUGGUUGUUGGACGGCUUGCUGUUCAGUAACGAAGCUAA
rnacentral:rRNA from 1 species